GUGCUCACUUUGGCAGCACAUACACUAAAAUUGGAACUAUGCAGAGAAGAUGAGCGUGGCCCCUGCACAAGGAUGAUACACAAAUUUGUGAAGCAUUCCAUAUUUUU
ensembl:snRNA U6 U6 spliceosomal RNA